rnacentral:ncRNA from 1 species
UGUUUAAUUAAAACAAAGCAUUGUGAUGGUCCCUAUGGAUGCUGACACAAUGUGAUUUAUGCCCAUUGCUUUGCAUGUCAAAGUGAAUAAAUUCAACCAAAAGAGGGUAAAUAGUGGGAGUAACUAUGACUCUCUUAAGGUAUAUAGAUGUUGUAUCAUCUAAUUAAUGAUGUGCAUGAAUGAAUUAACGAGAUUCCCAUUUUCCCUAGCUACUAUCUAGAGAAACCACAACCAAGGAAAUGGGCUUGGAAGAAUUAGCAGGGAAAAAAGACCAUGUUGAUCUUGACUCUAGUUCGACUUUGUGAAAUGACUUGAGAGGUGUAGAAUAAGUGGGAGUUUUUUUUUAGCGCAAGUGAAAUACGACCACUACUUUCACUGCUAUUUUACUCAUUUCAUGGGUCAGACAUGGGGCAUUGCACAUAUGUUAAAAUAUAAUGCACAUUUCCUCAAAGUGUUGUCAUUGAUGGAAACGGUUGAGAGCUCAUUCUUCAUGCACUUUAUGGAAAUGACUUUAGGAAACCAAAUAGGAUCAUUGUGUUUAAGGACUUACAAAUUUUAU